UUAUCCGGAUUUAUUGGGUGUAAAGGGAGCGUAGAUGGAUGUGUAAGUCAGUUGUGAAAGUUUGCGGCUCAACCGUAAAAUUGCAGUUGAUACUGGAUGUCUUGAGUGCAGUUGAGGCAGGCGGAAUUCGUGGUGUAGCGGUGAAAUGCUUAGAUAUCACGAAGAACUCCGAUUGCGAAGGCAGCCUGCUAAGCUGCAACUGACAUUGAGGCUCGAAAGUGUGGGUAUCAAACAGGAUUAGAUACCCUGGUAGUCCACACGGUAAACGAUGAAUACUCGCUGUUUGCGAUAUACGGCAAGCGGCCAAGCGAAAGCGUUAAGUAUUCCACCUGGGGAGUACGCCGGCAACGGUGAAACUCAAAGGAAUCGACGGGGGCCCGCACAAGCGGAGGAACAUGUGGUUUAAUUCGAUGAUACGCGAGGAA
rnacentral:rRNA from 1 species